rnacentral:rRNA from 1 species
AAUAGAUACCCAGGUAGUCCAUGCCGUAAACGUUGGGAACUAGGUGUGGGUCUCAUUCCACGAGAUCCGUGCCGCAGCUAACGCAUUAAGUGAUCCGCCUGGGGACUACGGCCGCAAGGUUGAAACUCAAAGGAAUUGGCGGGGGCCCGCACAAGCGGUGGAGCAUAUGGCUUAAUUCGAUGCAACGCGAAGAACCUUACCAGGGCUUGACAUGCACCUGCAUUCCCCGGAAACGGAGCCGCCUUCGAGGGUGGUGCACAGGUGGUGCAUGGCUGUCGUCAGCUCGUGUUGUGAAAUGUUGGGUUAAGUCCCGCAACGAGCGCAACCCUUGUCCUGUGUUGCCAGCAUGCCCUUCGGGGUGAUGGGGACUCACAGGAGACCGCCGGGGUCAACGUCGGAGGAAGGUGGGGACGACGUCAAGUCAUCGAUGCCCCUUAUGUCUUGGGCUGCACACGUGCUACAAUGGCAGGUACAAUGAGCUGCGAAACCGUGAGGUGGAGCGAAUCUCAAAAAGCCUGU